rnacentral:lncRNA from 1 species
CAGGGUUCAUCAGUGAAUGUGCUCAAAGUUGCAAGGACACAAACCAGCAUUUCUCUGGAGCUAAGGUUUUGCCAGAUCUGGCUUUUCCCAUUGGUUUGCAAAUGUGGGGUCAGCAGCAGUGAGGAGCACAGAGCGCACAGCUGCAGCCACUGUCUCCUUUCUUACUGGCUCAUCUGACCUAGAGAGUUCCACAGCGC